ACACCAAGUUAGACACCGCUUUGCAUCUGACGUGCACACGUCAGAUGUGCACGUCAGAUGCAUUUUAAUGCAUUUUAAUGCAUUUUAACUCCAAUUUUUGGCCAAAUUAUAAAUAAAAUUUGUUUAAAGUGAAAACUAAAAUCUGAUAAUUGCAUAAAUAAAAUGAAAACUGAUACUCAAGCGGAAGAACGUUUUAACGCUUAUCGAGCCUCUCUCACGUCCCAGGUGGGGAUCCUCGUGUCCAAAACGUUGAUUGAAAAUAAGGAAAAACUCGACAAAUUAAGGAUUGAGCUUAACUUGCAAACAAAGUGGGAAAAUGCACAUCCAGAAUAUAAGCAAAUUUUCAAAAACAAUGCGGAAAAUGGUUUAAAACAGGAAAAUGGGCAAAAUUGCGACUCUCAUUUUGAAAACCCCUCAAAUUCCGAGGUAAUGGAGGCCUUGGUUAAAAUUACGCCGCACGCGGACGAAUUUUUAGCCGUGACGCGACUCCUGACAACCUGGAUGGAAUUGCAAAAGGGCAAAUUCGAAACUGGGAACAGUUUCGGGUCAGAAGAAAUUCAUUUAUUUGAAUAAGUUUCAUUAUUCAAUAAAUUCAUGAAGCAGGAGUGAAAAAUUUUUCCAAAAUUUUUCAACAAAGUCCGAAGUAAUUGACCAGAUUGUGACGCAAGUGGACGCGAAAAGGUUCUCGGUCCAAAGCUUGAAAUAUUUUACGGAGAGGCGGAAACUUAUUUGGAAAUUGAGGAAACAUCCAUGGAGUGAGGACGCCUUCGUCUGCGUCCAAUUGCACGACUACGACUACUUGUGGACCCUGGAUUGCGCGCUUUUCGACUUUGCGCGGAGCUACGCGCUGAUUUACGACUGCUUAAAGAAAAAUUGGGACACGAUCACGAGCGUUGGAGCAGCGCAAGAUUUGCAAGGGUUAUCAAUGUAUUAAGCGGAAUUUUUAUAAAUAAUUAAUUUUAUAAAAUUCAUUAGUAAAUACAAGAAUUUGUAAAUACAGGCAUGUCGUGAAAGACCUAAAAUUACUAAUUUUGGGCUUACCGAUUAAUUAGAGAUUGCUUACGUAAUUGACUUGUUGCUUGAUUGGUUAACGUAUUGAUUUACAUGAACGUCCGCACAAGCACUAUUUUCAGUUUUUUUUUAAAUCGGUUAAAGUUAAUGCCAAUGAUUUUAUGAGUGAUUAGAAAUAAUGGUCUAAUCUUAAAGUUAAAAUUAGUGCAGGUGUAACAAAUUGUAAAGAGUUAAUUUUAUAAAAAUAUUUUUCAUAAUAAAUUCUUGGUUGGAGUUCGUGAUUCACAACUUUUUUUUAUGGAAUUUAUUGCCAGCUUAAGACGGUUAAAAUUGUAGUGAAAAUAUUGGUAAAAUAUGGCGGCGUAAAAUGCUUAAAACGAUUUACCUGCGGGUAAUUUUUGCAAAUAAUUAACUUUAUAUAAUUAAUUGCCACGAUAGUCUGCAAUUAAAUACGUGGCCUAGAAAUCAUCCAUUCUGGAUUAAUUCAAAAUAAAUUUUGCAAACAAGUACAUAUGUAUAAAAGAUUAGCUUUAUAGCUGUAACAUUCCACCCCAGCCUUGGCUGAUCACCAAGGUUGGGAUGCAAUGUCCUUGUACAUAAAAUAUAUGAAUAUUUAAUUGAGUCGAACUUCUGGCUAGCUAGCAGAAGUUCGUCUCAACAUUAGGAGACAUAGGACGAAUUGUCCGAGGAGUUUAGAUAUAAGUGUCUCCUUCACAGGAUGUGAAGGAGACGGGUUGAUUAGAUUAUUUUAUUUAAUUUGGGACGAAGAGAGAUGCUCUCUUCAUCCUCACCUAGAUAUAAGAUUUUAGUGCAGUUAGAUUUUAGGACUCGGUAGAUUAAGUCAUGUUUUCUUUCACACACGUUCCUUGUACAUACUUACUUGUUAAAUAAAUUACUAGUUUUUGUAAAA